GACAGAGGUGCCAAGCGUUAGGCGGAAUCACUGGGCUUAAAGCGUGUGUAGGCGGAAUUCUAAGUACCUUGUGAAAUCCCACAGCUCAACUGUGGAACUGCUCGGUAUACUGCUUUUCUUGAGCCACUUAGGGGCUGUCGGAACAACGGUGGAGCGGUGAAAUGCGUAGAUAUCGUUGAUGACGCCAAAGGUGAAAACAGACAGCUGGGAGUGUGCUGACGCUGAGACACGAAAGCCAGGGGAGCGAACGGG
rnacentral:rRNA from 1 species